UGCAGUCGGGCGGUAGCACAGAGGAGCUUGCUCCUUGGGUGACGAGCGGCGGACGGGUGAGUAAAGUCUGGGGAUCUGCCUGAUGGAGGGGGAUAACUACUGGAAACGGUAGCUAAUACCGCAUGACGUCUUCGGACCAAAGUGGGGGACCUUCGGGCCUCACGCCAUGAGAUGAACCCAGAUGGGAUUAGCUGGUAGGUGAGGUAACGGCUCACCUAGGCGACGAUCCCUAGCUGGUCUGAGAGGAUGACCAGCCACACUGGAACUGAGACACGGUCCAGACUCCUACGGGAGGCAGCAGUGGGGAAUAUUGCACAAUGGGGGAAACCCUGAUGCAGCCAUGCCGCGUGUGUGAAGAAGGCCUUCGGGUUGUAAAGCACUUUCAGCGGGGAGGAAGGCAAUAAACUUAAUAAGUUUGUUGAUUGACGUUACCCGCAGAAGAAGCACCGGCUAACUCCGUGCCAGCAGCCGCGGUAAUACGGAGGGUGCAAGCGUUAAUCGGAAUGACUGGGCGUAAAGCGCACGCAGGCGGUCUGUUAAGUUGGAUGUGAAAUCCCCGGGCUCAACCCGGGAACAGCAUUCAAAACUGACAGGCUAGAGUCUCGUAGAGGGGGGUAGAAUUCCAGGUGUAGCGGUGAAAUGCGUAGAGAUCUGGAGGAAUACCGGUGGCGAAGGCGGCCCCCUGGACGAAGACUGACGCUCAGGUGCGAAAGCGUGGGGAGCAAACAGGAUUAGAUACCCUGGUAGUCCACGCCGUAAACGAUGUCGACUUGGAGGCUGUGGUCUUGAACCGUGGCUUCCGGAGCUAACGCGUUAAGUCGACCGCCUGGGGAGUACGGCCGCAAGGUUAAAACUCAAAUGAAUUGACGGGGGCCCGCACAAGCGGUGGAGCAUGUGGUUUAAUUCGAUGCAACGCGAAGAACCUUACCUACUCUUGACAUCCAGAGAAGACUGUAGAGAUACGGUUGUGCCUUCGGGAGCUCUGAGACAGGUGCUGCAUGGCUGUCGUCAGCUCGUGUUGUGAAAUGUUGGGUUAAGUCCCGCAACGAGCGCAACCCUUAUCCUUUGUUGCCAGCGAUACGGUCGGGAACUCAAAGGAGACUGCCGGUGAUAAACCGGAGGAAGGUGGGGAUGACGUCAAGUCAUCAUGGCCCUUACGAGUAGGGCUACACACGUGCUACAAUGGCGCAUACAAAGAGAAGCGAGCCUGCGAGGGUGAGCGGACCUCAUAAAGUGCGUCGUAGUCCGGAUUGGAGUCUGCAACUCGACUCCAUGAAGUCGGAAUCGCUAGUAAUCGUAGAUCAGAAUGCUACGGUGAAUACGUUCCCGGGCCUUGUACACACCGCCCGUCACACCAUGGGAGUGGGUUGCAAAAGAAGUAGGUAGC
rnacentral:rRNA from 1 species